rnacentral:rRNA from 1 species
AUGCUUUACACAUGCCAAGUCGAACGGUAACAGGUCUUCGGAUGCUGACGAGUGGCGAACGGGUGAGUAAUGUAUCGGAACGUGCCUAGUAAUGGGGGAUAACCACUCGAAAGAGUGACUAAUACCGCAUAAUAUCUCAGGAUGAAAGCGGGGGACCGUAAGGCCUCGCGUUAUUAGAGCGGCCGAUAUCAGAUUAGGUAGUUGGUGGGAUAAAAGCCUACCAAGCCAACGAUCUGUAGCUGGUCUGAGAGGACGACCAGCCACACUGGGACUGAGACACGGCCCAGACUCCUACGGGAGGCAGCAGUGGGGAAUUUUGGACAAUGGGCGAAAGCCUGAUCCAGCAAUACCGCGUGCAGGACGAAGGCCUUCGGGUUGUAAACUGCUUUUGUACGGAACGAAACGGUUCAGAUUAAUACUCUGAACUAAUGACGGUACCGUAAGAAUAAGCACCGGCUAACUACGUGCCAGCAGCCGCGGUAAUACGUAGGGUGCAAGC